GGGCCCGUGGUCUAGUGGUUAGUUCUCAUCAGCAAUUUGAUUUUUUUGUAAAUGUGUUGUGGAACCCAUUAAUGACGUCACCUUGACAUGGUGAAGACCGAGUGUUCAAUUCACUCCGGGCCCA
rnacentral:tRNA from 1 species